AGCAAUAUUUGGGUAAGCUAUUUUGUAGGCAACAGUUACUAUUGGAGAAUUUCAUGAAAAAGCUAAGCAUUUCAUCUCUCUUGGAACCACUGAAGCUUAAAGAAGUUUUAAUUUGGAUUCUGUUCUCAACUUCGGCUAUUGAAACUUUAAGGUUGAGGCCAUUGGAGGUUGUUUGGUUGGUGUUCUAGAUGUCAUGAGGUUGGAAAACUUGUCGCUAGCGAGAUUUUGGAGUUGCGUAGCUGCGAAAGAUGAAGCCUUGCACUGAAGACGUUCCAUAUACAAGCUACCUCUUGUUCAUGGUAUUUUAGGAUUUAAACUCUAUUUAUGUAAUUUCAAAUAGAUAUUGUACUUAUUCAUCAUUUUCGUUUUGUAAAUUUAAAUCAUAGUGGCUCAUAACUUGUACUACCAUUCCUUGGGAGGUUGU